rnacentral:rRNA from 1 species
GACGAACGCUGGCGGCGUGCUUAACACAUGCAAGUCGAACGAAGUGGCGAACGGGUGAGUAACGCGUAAUCAACCUGCCCUUCCGAGGGGGACAACAGUUGGAAACGACUGCUAAUACCGCAUACUGAAGGAGGGGAUUGCGUCUGAUUAGCUAGUUGGAGGGGUAACGGCCCACCAAGGCGAUGAUCAGUAACCGGUCUGAGAGGAUGAACGGCCAACAUGGGACUGGGACACGGCCUAGACUCCUACGGGAGGCAGCAGUGGGGAAUCUUCCGCAAGGGACGAAAGUCUGACGGAGCAACGCCGCGUGAGUGAUGACGGCCUUCGGGUUGUAAAGCGCUGUUAAGCGUGACGCGGUACCGGAAUAGAAAGCCACGGCUAACUACGUGCCAGCAGCCGCGGUAAUAC